rnacentral:rRNA from 1 species
GAUGAACGCAGGCGGCGUGCUUAACACAUGCAAGUCGAACGAGAGAAGAUCGGUGCUUGCACUGAUCCGAUCGAGUGGCGGACGGGUGAGUAACGCGUGGGUAACCUGCCUCAUACAGGGGAAUAACAGUUGGAAACGACUGCUAAAACCGCAUAAGCGCACAGUAUCGCAUGAUACAGUGUGAAAAACUCCGGUGGUAUGAGAUGGACCCGCGUCUGAUUAGCUAGUUGGUGAUGUAACGGCCCACCAAGGCAACGAUCAGUAGCCGGCCUGAGAGGGUGAACGGCCACAUUGGGACUGAGACACGGACCAAACUCCUACGGGAGGCAGCAGUGGGGAAUAUUGCACAAUGGGGGAAACCCUGAUGCAGCGACGCCGCGUGAGUGAUGAAGUAUUUCGGUAUGUAAAGCUCUAUCAGCAGGGAAGAUAAUGACGGUACCUGACUAAGAAGCACCGGCUAAAUACGUGCCAGCAGCCGCAGUAA